rnacentral:lncRNA from 1 species
AUGCCACACCCGUGUGGCUGUGCUCAUGCCUCUCGGCCACUGGAGGGCUGGGGUCUUCUCGAGUCGUGGCUGUCUCGGACACAUCUAGAUAUUAUUUCUUUUCUUUUCUUUUCUUUUUUUUGGUUCUGGAUAUUAUUUCUUUGGGGGCGGUUUCAAUCCCCUCCCCCACCCUCCUCAGCCCACCUUGGCCUAGACCACGCCCCGUGCGCCUGCGUGCUGGCUUCUGUGACAUCCUUCCUGAGACCUGUCCCGUGCACGUCUGUCUGUGUCCUUCUGUUCUCCCCGCCCCUCCCCCCAGGCACUCUCUCCACUCUCUGCCGGGGCACAGGGAGAAAAAGGCCUCCCUCCGGGGACCUCAGACUGAGCCAAAACGGGAGGCAAGGAGCCCCCCGGCCUCUCCCCAGAUGGUACUGGGCACUUCCCUCUGCCCCAUCUGGCCCCAGGCCACCGAGGAGCCAGCAGCAUGGCUGUGUCCUCGGCCGCCCCGACUGGCUCCUCCUUCCUGGGGCUGGGCAGGAUCAGGGCUCCCAGAAAGCAAGGCAGAGGGAGCACAGAGCAGCCUUCCCAGCAGGGGCCCUGCCUGGCUCCAGGCCAGCUCUGCUGUGUAGAUCUGUGAUUUGUGUGCCCAAAUUUAUAUGUGAAAGUCCUGACCCCCAGAACCUCAGAAUAUGACCGAAAUCAGGCUAUUGCAGAUGGCAUGAGUUAAAGCUGAUAUCCCACCGGGCCACGAUGGUGCAUGGCGGUCACCCCGGCUACUGGGGGGGAGGCUGAGGCAGGAGGGUUAAAAUUUGGACAACCUUGGACAACGCAGUAAAAAAAUUUAAAGGGCGGGGGAUGGAGCUCAGUGCAAAGGCCCUGAGUUCAACCUCCGGUGCUGAUGGGAGAAAAACCCAUCUAUAAAAGUUGCCAAAGGCUAGCAAGGGACGGGGCCCUGGGUGCGUUUCUCCGGGCAGGGUUUGGGUGCAGCCCAGCUGGGUGCGGACAGCUGCCUCCAGCGAGCGCUCUGAACCCAAGCCUCUCCGUUCCCAUCGGACAGCACAGGACCGAAACUCAAACCUGGCCCCACGUGCAGGGCCCGGCAGCCGGCAUGGGGUGGGAAGAGGCUACGGACCGCACGCUCUCUAUCCGCCUUCUGAGCAGCCAGGGUCCCCAGGGUGCAGGGCCAGAGUCUUCCCCACCCCGACC